rnacentral:rRNA from 1 species
CAUGCUUAACACAUGCAAGUCGCACGGGUGGUUUCGGCCAUCAGUGGCGGACGGGUGAGUAACGCGUAGGAACGUGUCCAGAGGUGGGGGACAACCCUGGGAAACUGGGGCUAAUACCGCAUGGGGGCUGAGGCCCAAAGCCGAGAGGCGCCAUUGGAGCGGCCUGCGUCCGAUUAGGUAGUUGGUGGGGUAAAGGCCUACCAAGCCUGCGAUCGGUAGCUGGUCUGAGAGGACGACCAGCCACACUGGGACUGAGACACGGCCCAGACUCCUACGGGAGGCAGCAGUGGGGAAUAUUGGACAAUGGGCGAAAGCCUGAUCCAGCAAUGCCGCGUGGGUGAAGAAGGUCUUCGGAUUGUAAAGCCCUUUCGACGGGGACGAUGAUGACGGUACCCGUAGAAGAAGCCCCGGCUAACUUCGUGCCAGCAGCCGCGGUAAUACGAAGGGGGCUAGCGUUGCUCGGAAUUACUGGGCGUA